UACGGGGGGGGCAAGCGUUGUUCGGAAUUACUGGGCGUAAAGGGCUCGUAGGUGGCCAACUAAGUCAGACGUGAAAUCCCUCAGCUUAACUGGGGAACUGCGUCUGAUACUGGAUGGCUUGAGUUUGGGAGAGGGAUGCGGAAUUCCAGGUGUAGCGGUGAAAUGCGUAGAUAUCGUGGAGAACACCCGUGGCGAAGGCGGGCUUCUGGCUAAUGACUGACGCUGAGGUGCGAAAGCUAGGGGAGCGAACGGG
rnacentral:rRNA from 1 species